rnacentral:rRNA from 1 species
GUGGUACGCGAGCUGGGUUUAGAACGUCGUGAGACAGUUCGGUCCCUAUCUGCCGUGGGCGCUGGAGAACUGAGGGGGGCUGCUCCUAGUACGAGAGGACCGGAGUGGACGCAUCACUGGUGUUCGGGUUGUCAUGCCAAUGGCACUGCCCGGUAGCUAAAUGCGGAAGAGAUAAGUGCUGAAAGCAUCUAAGCACGAAACUUGCCCCGAGAUGAGUUCUCCCUGAGACUUUAGGUCUCCUGAAGGAACGUUGAAGACGACGACGUUGAUAGGCCGGGUGUGUAAGCGCAGCGAUGCGUUGAGCUAACCGGUACUAAUGAACCGUGAGGCUUAACCUUAC